UACGUAGGGGGCGAGCGUUGUCCGGAUUUAUUGGGCGUAAAGAGCGUGUAGGCGGUUCGGUAAGUCUGUCGUGAAAUCCUGAGGCUCAACCCCGGGUCGGCCGUGGCAACUGCUGGGCUAGAGCACUGUAGAGGCAGGUGGAAUUCCGGGUGUAGCGGUGGAAUGCGUAGAGAUCCGGAAGAACACCGGUGGCGAAGGCGGCCUGCUGGGCAGUAGCUGACGCUGAUGCGCGACAGCGUGGGGAGCAAACAGG
rnacentral:rRNA from 1 species